UUAUGGCACUGCUAUCGCAUCAAAAAGCCAAUCUCAACAUCAUCUAUGGAGGACAGAAGAAUACUGUAUUAGGGUGCCAAGACUGUGACACCCAAGUGGAAGAAAGCCAGGCAGCAUAUAUAGUGAACAGAUUGGAUAAGAAGCCUGGAGGAGAGAGAGAAGAAACUCUCACAGGACAAGACCUCUGUUCUUGGAGGAAAGAUUGUGGCAAGGAAAAGGUUGAAGGAUUUCUUCUUAGUAUAAAGAAAAUUUUCAAAAAAACAACAGCAACAACAACACACAAAACACCCAAAGAGUGGAACUGUAAAAUGUGAUGUCUCUCUUCUGUU